UCGCCAAUUGAGAAGGAAAACCCUAUUGGGAUGCUAAACGAAACAUACGGUUUCUCAUUCUCCCUUCGCCACUACUGUCAGCAAACUCUCUUCCAUAGGGGAGAAUACCACAUCUAAUCGAUCUGUUCUUCAAUCUUCCACUCGAUCUCUCUAUCACUGGUAGGAGCUCUCACUCUGUAUUGGGGAUUUGAUUCAAUCUUCGAGUCGAUCUCUCUGUCACCAGAAAGAGCUCUCACUCUAUAUUAGGGAUUUGAUUCAAUCUUCCACUCGAUCUCUCUAUCACUUGUAGGAGCUCUUACUCUGUAUUGGGGAUUUUAUUCAAUCUUCCACUCUAUCUCUCUAUCACUGGUAGGAACUCUCACUCUGUAUUGGGGAUUUGAUGCGGAUUUUGACGUUCAAUAAGUUGUUUAGGGUUUAUUAAUUUAAGGGAAAUUUUGGAGAGAAAUGUUGGCAUUGGUUGGGGUCAAGAGGAGGAGGAGAUGCACCAGCAACUAAUAUGGAGAAGGAUUCUACCUCUCUAAAAUCUAUAAGCGAGCAAUAGAGUUUCAUUGAAAUCCAUUCAAGCCUAAGCAUAUCAGGGUUUGUUAUUGGUGGAUGAAGCAAACUAUUCAACUUUUACUUCACGAGCAUUGUAGCAGGACAAGUAUCUUAUAUUUGUUGAUUUUUUUUUUCCUUCAUAUUUUCUUCAAAUAUCGUCUAAUAAUCUGUAUUUUUUAUUUUUAUUUUCGUUGAAUAUCAUGUAUUUGUAUUCUUUUAAUUUGAUUUCCAUAUUUGAAGAUAGAUUGAAGAUUAGAAUUCAUUAGGUGAAAGUUUCUUGUGCGCAUACAUUGUGUUUGAGAAAUUGUCUCAAUGGAAAUUUAUGUACUUUUUUAUUUUUCGUUAAUUUUUUAUUAUUGUUUAUAGUCUUAAUUGUCCAGUGGAAGUGUUUCAAUUGGAAAAAUCCAAGCUUGUGGCUUUAGAAUCACAUUUCAUUCUAUCAGUUUCGGUUUUUUUGGUAGCAAUUUCUAGUUGAUUGACUCGAAAACAUCUGCCAUACAUUGAGAUCACGUAAGGGCAUGAGGGAACUUGACGAGAAGAAUUCAGAAACAAAGGUAAAGUGGGAGGAUAACACAACUAGAUCAAAAUGGGUUAUUGUCAAUCAUGCUACUUUCUUAGUUAUAUUUCAAAGAUUUUUGGAUGGGCUCAUGCUAUGAGACUUCAAGCUCUUUUUGUUUAAGAUGGUUUAAGUAGUGUAUGUCCAGGUCUUUAAGCCCUUUGUUUAGGAAUCUAUAGCACAUUUUUGUCUAAGAUCUUGAAAGAUUUUAUUUAAGAUACUAGCUUGUUUUGGUUCAAAUUAUUGGAGUUGAAAUUGUUUUAGUUGCGAAGACUCAUUUUUUUACGCGAUGGGCUUUAUUAUGUAUGUUGUAAACAAUACAUUUUUUUGUUGGUGUAACUUAUGCAAUAUCAAGUAUUUAUUUGUUUGCAUAAUCGUGUUGAUGUGAUAUUUUUUUUUUUUUUGAUAUUAUUUCUUAUGUUUAUAAUGUUAAUAAUUUACAGGUUUGUUACAAAUUUUUAUCGUGCCACAAUAAAUAUGUGGCAUAUUUUUUGUGUUUACCACAAUA